UAGAAGUCAGGUCGGAUUAAGCCAUAGUACGGGAAAAACUAUGCUACCUGUGAGCCCCGUCCAAGGACGUUAAAAGAAGUCAGGCCACUACAAGUGCCAUAACUUGAGCAAAUUAUGCAGCCUGUAGCUCCACCUGGGAAGGUGUAAAAAAUCUGGGAGGCCACAAACCAUGGAAGCUGUACGCAUGGCGUAGUGGACUAGCGGUUAGAGGAGACCCCUCCCUUGCAAAUCGCAGCAACAAUGGGGGCCCAAGGUGAGAUGAAGCUGUAGUCUCACUGGAAGGACUAGAGGUUAGAGGAGACCCCCCCGAAACAAAAAACAGCAUAUUGACGC
rnacentral:lncRNA from 1 species